rfam:Pseudoalteromonas piscicida strain S2040 contig0042, whole genome shotgun sequence.
GGUUAAGUGACUAAGCGUACACGGUGGAUGCCUUGGCAGUUGGAGGCGAUGAAGGACGUACUAACUUGCGAUAAGCCUAGUCAAGCCAGUAAGAGGCGCUUGAGACUAGGAUUUCCGAAUGGGGAAACCCACCUGCUUGCAGGUAUCGUUAACUGAAUACAUAGGUUAACGAGGCGAACGCGGAGAACUGAAACAUCUAAGUACCCGUAGGAAAAGAAAUCAACCGAGAUUCCGAAAGUAGCGGCGAGCGAAAUCGGACCAGCCCUUAAGCUUUAGUGUAGUUAGUGGAACAUGCUGGAAAGCAUGACGAAACAGGGUGAUAGUCCCGUACACAAAAACUUAUCUAAAGUGAAAUCGAGUAGGUCGGAGCACGUGAAACUUUGACUGAAUAUGGGGGGACCAUCCUCCAAGGCUAAAUACUCCCAACUGACCGAUAGUGAACCAGUACCGUGAGGGAAAGGCGAAAAGAACCCCUGUGAGGGGAGUGAAAUAGAACCUGAAACCGUGUACGUACAAGCAGUAGGAGCCUACUUGUUGGGUGACUGCGUACCUUUUGUAUAAUGGGUCAGCGACUUAUAUUCUGUAGCGAGGUUAACCAUUUAGGGGAGCCGUAGCGAAAGCGAGUCUUAACUGGGCGCUUAAGUUGCAGGGUAUAGACCCGAAACCCGGUGAUCUAGCCAUGGGCAGGUUGAAGGUUGAGUAACAUCAACUGGAGGACCGAACCCACUAACGUUGAAAAGUUAGGGGAUGACCUGUGGCUAGGAGUGAAAGGCUAAUCAAACCGGGAGAUAGCUGGUUCUCCCCGAAAUCUAUUUAGGUAGAGCCUCGGACGAAUACUUACGGGGGUAGAGCACUGUUAAGGCUAGGGGGUCAUCCCGACUUACCAACCCUUUGCAAACUCCGAAUACCGUAAAGUAAUAUCCGGGAGACACACGGCGGGUGCUAACGUCCGUCGUGGAGAGGGAAACAACCCAGACCGUCAGCUAAGGUCCCAAAGUGUAUGUUAAGUGGGAAACGAUGUGGGAAGGCUAAAACAGCUAGGAGGUUGGCUUAGAAGCAGCCACCCUUUAAAGAAAGCGUAAUAGCUCACUAGUCGAGUCGGCCUGCGCGGAAGAUGUAACGGGGCUAAACAUACCACCGAAGCUACGGCUGCAGACUUUGUCUGCGGGGUAGGGGAGCGUUCUGUAAGUGGCUGAAGGUGUGCCGGGAGGCAUGCUGGACAUAUCAGAAGUGCGAAUGCUGACAUGAGUAACGACAAGAGGAGUGAAAAACUCCUCCGCCGGAAGACCAAGGGUUCCUAUCCCAUGUUAAUCAGGGUAGGGUGAGUCGACCCCUAAGGCGAGGCUGAAGAGCGUAGUCGAUGGGAAACGGGUUAAUAUUCCCGUACUCGGUAUGAAUGCGAUGGGGGGACGGAGCAGGCUAGGCAAGCAUGGCGUUGGUUGUCCAUGUGAAAGGCUGUAGGCUGGUGACUUAGGAAAAUCCGGGUUGCUAAGGCUGAGAGUCGAGACGAGCCACUAAGGUGGUGAAGUUGUUGAUGCCCUACUUCCAGGAAAAGCCUCUAAGCUUCAGUUCAUACUGAAUCGUACCCUAAACCGACACAGGUGGUCAGGUAGAGAAUACUAAGGCGCUUGAGAGAACUCGGGUGAAGGAACUAGGCAAAAUUGUACCGUAACUUCGGGAGAAGGUACGCUCUUGUUUGUGAAGGACUUGCUCUGUAAGCAAACGAGAGCCGCAGUGACCAGGUGGCUGGGACUGUUUAUUAAAAACACAGCACUGUGCAAAAUCGUAAGAUGACGUAUACGGUGUGACACCUGCCCGGUGCCGGAAGGUUAAUUGAUGGGGUUAGCUUAGGCGAAGCUCUUGAUCGAAGCCCCGGUAAACGGCGGCCGUAACUAUAACGGUCCUAAGGUAGCGAAAUUCCUUGUCGGGUAAGUUCCGACCUGCACGAAUGGUGUAACCAUGGCCACGCUGUCUCCACCCGAGACUCAGUGAAAUUGAAAUCGCAGUGAAGAUGCUGUGUACCCGCGGCUAGACGGAAAGACCCCGUGAACCUUUACUACAGCUUGGCACUGAACAUUGACCCUACAUGUGUAGGAUAGGUGGGAGGCUUUGAAGCAGAGACGCUAGUUUCUGUGGAGCCGACCUUGAAAUACCACCCUUGUAGUGUUGAUGUUCUAACUUAGGCCCCUGAAUCGGGGUUGAGGACAGUGCCUGGUGGGUAGUUUGACUGGGGCGGUCUCCUCCCAAAGAGUAACGGAGGAGCACGAAGGUUUGCUAAGUACGGUCGGACAUCGUACGGUUAGUGUAAUGGUAGAAGCAAGCUUAACUGCGAGACAGACACGUCGAGCAGGUACGAAAGUAGGUCAUAGUGAUCCGGUGGUUCUGAAUGGAAGGGCCAUCGCUCAACGGAUAAAAGGUACUCCGGGGAUAACAGGCUGAUACCGCCCAAGAGUUCAUAUCGACGGCGGUGUUUGGCACCUCGAUGUCGGCUCAUCACAUCCUGGGGCUGAAGUCGGUCCCAAGGGUAUGGCUGUUCGCCAUUUAAAGUGGUACGCGAGCUGGGUUUAGAACGUCGUGAGACAGUUCGGUCCCUAUCUGCCGUGGGCGUUUGAGAAUUGAGAGGGGCUGCUCCUAGUACGAGAGGACCGGAGUGGACGAACCGCUGGUGUUCGGGUUGUGAUGCCAAUUGCAUUGCCCGGUAGCUACGUUCGGAACUGAUAACCGCUGAAAGCAUCUAAGCGGGAAGCAGGCCUCGAGAUGAGUUCUCACUUUGACUUAGAGUCAACUGAAGGGCCGUUGAAGACUACAACGUUGAUAGGCGAGAUGUGGAAGUGCUGUGAGGCAUUAAGCUAACUCGUACUAAUUACCCGUGAGGCUUAACCAU